CAGCCUCUCACCGAGCUCUCCAUCGUGUUCCCGGUUUUGUGGUUUCAGCUGUGACUUUCCUGACCUCUCAACGAUCUUCUUCCAGAUGUCACCUCACCAACGUGUCCCACCAGGGAGGCGCUUCCACGGAGCAUCUGAAAUUAUCAAGGCAGGGGCCCUCGGAGCACCUGACCCCCUUAUUAAAACUGAACACUGCCUGGUUCUGGAUUUAUAGUCAACUCCUAGGGUGCACGGAGGGGGAGAGAGACUCUUAAGCGG